rnacentral:rRNA from 1 species
UACGUAGAGGGCAAGCGUUGUCCGGAAUUACUGGGCGUAAAGCGUGACGCAGGCGGUUUGUUAAGUACAGGUGUGAAAUCCCCGGGCUUAAACCUGGGGAAUGGCGCUUGUUACUGGCAGGCUAGAGUGUGUCAGAGGGAGGUAGAAUUCCACGUGUAGCAGUGAAAUGCGUAGAGAUGUGGAGGAAUACCGAUGGCGAAGGCAGCCUCCUGGGAUAACACUGACGCUCGAUGCACGAA